GCCGCGCCCGCCGUCCUCGCCGCGGUCUUCUCUUCAGGCGCCUACCGCGGCUGGCAAGUCCCUGCUGGCAGAGCAGCGGAGGUCCCCGAAUCAACUUUCAAUUCCCCCUCUGCUUCUGCCUCACCAUUCUCUUCUCCGCGAAAGAUGGCUGUUUGGAGAAGGGGGCGAAGUUAGGGGGUCCUCGGCGCGGGGCGAAGGAGGGCGCGACAGCCUCGGCGGGAGCGGACGGAGGUUUCCCCUUUCCCAGCCUCUCGUGGACCAGCGUUGCCAGCUGAAGGAAGGUUGUGAAUCUGCAUCCCAGCCCAUUAGUCCUUCUCCUGAUUCCCGUGAUGAGUUCACCAGUGCAGCCUGGUCAGUUUGGUUGUUUCUUAAGCUAUUAACAGAUGUAAUAUGAAAGAUGUUGCUUUGUGUUGCUUCAAACCAAGCAAUUUAACUUAUGAAAGGACUUUUUAUUCUGAUGAGGAUGUGUGGAUACAAUGAAUUUUGAAUUUUGUGUUCUAUAGCUAAUCCUUUGUUAUGUAACCAUCUUGCUUUCCAGGCAAUUAAUUUCAUUUGAAUUAUUAUCUGAGCACUGGGCUUUAGUUCUUCUGCUAAUGUAACAUUUGGAUUGAAUUUUAUGAAGUUAUAAAUAUUUAUUAAAUAUGUUGUAGGCAUCUAAUUCAUAUCCAUAGUCUUUCUGAGUCCGUGUCUGUAUGUUUUAAAUUGUGUCAUAGGCUUUGGAUAUCAGCUUGUGGACUCAUUUUCCUCCUCCUUCUCUUUGACACACAGGAAGGAUAUUUCUCCUCCCUGCCCUUCUUUGCUGCCACUCCUGUUUCCUACAUACAUGUUUAAUUAUAAUCUCAGCACCUGCUUCCUCUGAGUCCAGUGUAAUGUGUGGCUCAUGUAGUGUUGUGAUAAGCACAGCCAACACCCAUUUCUCCAGGAACAGGGUGUCACUUUGGGAACAAACACAAUCCAAGUCUUAAAAAUGAUGGAGUAGUUUCAGAUAUCAUAUGUUAAACAUAGAGAAAUUUAAAAAGAAUUUUCUGUUUGAAUCAUUGUAGGAGUAUUUAUUUCUAUAUAUUCUUUAAAAAAAAAUCUCUCAGCACGUUGGUAUCUUUGAGUUAUCCAACUCCUGAGGUUGAAGCUAAUGUAAUAUUUUAUUCAGAGUUUAUAAAGGGAAAUCUUUUGCCAAGAUUUUCAGUCUGUGGAGUGCCACACCCAGAUCAGCUGCUCUGGAAUUCCAAUGUCUCAUCAACCUUUCCCAGAGCCCCAACAGGCUGCCAGCUUGUAUGUUGAAUUUGGAACUGAAAGGUUUUGGCGCGUACAACUGUAAUUGUUGAUUCUAAAUGAUGUAGUAAAGAUAUUCCAGAAUCUUUCUUCACAAUCAUGAUUUAUAAUUGGCGUUGUCAUCUGAAUAAGCACAUGAAGAGUUACACAGGCCUCUUAUCUCUGAGUCCUUGCAGUGCAGUGUUUCUCCAACUUUAGCAUCACUGGGAGGGCUUGUUAAAAUCAAGCCCCAUUCUCAAAGUUUUUGAUUCAGUAGAUCUUAGGUGGGUCCCAGGAAUUGUGAUACUUAUAAGUUUCCCCCCGGUGAGGCUACUGCUGCCUGAGGACUACACUUUGGAAAGCACUGAUCUAGCUUGCUAGUCCCGUUCCUUCCUCCACCUCUGCUUGCCUCCAUCCUCUCCUCCCUCCACACCCCCACCCUUACAGGCAGCCCUCUGUGCAUUACUUAUCACAAUUAUGGUGUAUUAUUACUGUCCUUUCUAUUGAGUUGGACUUAAAAUGAUGUGUGUGUUUUAUAUAUGCAUAUAUUACAUUUAAAUAUACAUUAUAUAUUGAUUUGUAUAUAACUUUAAUGUUUCAAAAUUACAUAAUUUAAAAGAGGCAUUUAAUUUAGAACUACCAUAGUCAAACAUUUUUUUUUCUUGUGGUAGAAUAUGUUAGAGUCAUUAAAAACAUAUUACAAGCAAUUGGAACAAAUUGGCUAAGUAUGAAUGUGGCAGAAAAUUUCCUCCAUUUCUAAAGUUACUGUCUAAAAUUUAUAUAGGGGAUUGUCUUUAAUUGUAAAGGACAGAAACUAGACUUUUAUAAAAUUGUCCCUGUCCCUUUAUUCUCUGCCUUCCUCCCCCAUAUCCUGUCCACAUUGUUUACCUCCCAGUUUUACUUCACAGAAGAGUGGCAGGGCAGAUUGAACCAUGGGAAAAUGGAAUUUUUGACAGUGACAGCAACUGUAUCCAAGUGAAACAUUUGAAAUGGCAUUUCUAUGUAAUCAUUAAAUGGGUAAAAAGUGCAGAUACCCUUGAUGGUUGAAGGUUGAAGGAUGCAACUAUAUGGGGAAAUUUUGAAUCCAAAUUAUAAUAAUUAAACCCAAUUUAUCAUACUUAACUAACUUGUAAAUAGUGCAAGUACAGCAAUUUCAGUGUCUAUAUGGUCUUUUUUUAGCAUCUUUCUAGGAUGUAUGGACUUGGACCCGCUUAUUUUUUUCUUUCCUUUUUAAAUUUAAGUAUAAUUAAUGUAUAAUAAUAUUUAUUUUACAGGUUACAGUAUAAUGAGUCACAAUUUUUAAAGCUUAUACUCCAUUUAUAGUUAUUAUAAAACAUUGGCUAUAUUUUCUGUGCUGUAUAAUAUAUCCUUGUAGCUUAUUUUAUACGUAUUGGUUUGUACCUCUUAACCCCUUAACCCCAUAUUGCCCCUUCCCUCUUCCCUCUCCCCACUGGUAGCCAACUAGAUUGCUCUCUAUAUCCCUGAGUCUGUUUCUUUUUUGUUACAUUCACUAGUUUGUUGGGUUUUUUUUUAGAUUCCAUGUAUCUGUCUUUCUUUGCUUUGUUUCACUUAGCAUAAUACCCUUCCAGUCCAUUCAUCUGUUGCAUAUGGUAGAAUUUCACAAUGGACCCACUUAUUUUUAAUGCGAAACAUGUAAUACCAUUAGACACUAUCGUAAGUGGUUAGACUUCCAGUUUAACCCAUUGAACCCUACUUAAAGAUAACUACUUUGCAGUGAAUGAAUACAGAAAAAUUUUGACAGCCUUUGAAAAAGAGAAUCAAUACAAUGUAGUAAGGAAUAUUUAAAAAUUUUGCAUGUUUAGAGAAAAGUGGACCAAUUUGACAGGAAAACAAACAAGUGAGAAAAUUUGAUGGAGAUAGUUCAUGUGAACUAUGGGCACCUUAGAUCAUUUCUCAGAAGGAUCAGCAUUACUUCUAAUUUCAUUCUAAAAGUAAUGAUUUUGGGGAGGCCAGUGUUAGGGUGAUUUCACUAUUCCUUUUCUCAUCUUAUGUAUGGAACAGAGGGAGGAAAUGGGGUGGGUGUGUGUGUGUGUGUGUGUGUGUGUGUAAAAUACAUGGUCAGAAGUAACAUUUACUGAACUUUGUGAGAUAAAGAAGAAAAGGAAAACAGAAGAGUGCAUGCAUCUAACGCUUAAGGGAGAAGAAGGAAACAUGAUUAAAGAGGAUUUGAGGUUAAAUAGAAAUCUUCUUGUCCAUGCAGUGUAUGUUGUUGGUUAUGUAGAAAGUGGCUGUGAAGUCAUGCUUCAAGGCGCAUGUGAAGACAGAGAUGUAUAUGUAUAGCUGUGUGUGUAUGUAUAGCUCAGCUUCUUAUGCUCAGGAUGAUAACAAUUUAUAGCAUUAUUUUAAAAUACAGAGUUCCUGUAUGUAAAUGGAAUACUUAAGAUGGUCAGAUACAUUGGACUUCUUUUCAAAAACACAAAGUGAAGUAAUACCAAAGACUUUGAUUAAUUCCACAUAUACCUGACACUGGCUCACAACUAGUAAUAUUUGACGGUUGCAAUCAGCAUACACUGACCCUGAGAAUGUUGAUUUUAUAAUUUGAAAAUGUCCUUUGAGGCUGCUAUUUUGAUGAGGAAGUUCUUGCUGGCCAUGAUACUUGUUCAGCUAGAAGAGGGAGUGAGAAAUGAGACAGCCACAAAGUGAAGCUCAUUUGACUUUUGAGUCAUUAAAAUUUCGUUAUGUACUUUCUUUCCUAUGCAUGAUUCUAGUCUGGUCUGUUGAGAACAGCAUUUUACAGAGGGUUUUUUUUUUUUUUUUUUGGUCUUUUUGUCUUUUAGGGCUGCAGUCACAGCAUAUGGAGGUUUCCAGGCUAGGGGCAAUUGGAACUGUAGCCAACAGUCUACUCCAGAGCCAUAGCAACACUGGAUCCAAGCAGCAUCUGCGACCUACACCACAUCUCAUGGCAACGCUGGAGGCCAAGGAUCGAACCCACGUCCUCAUGGAUGCUAGUCAGGUUUGCUAACUGCUGAGCCAUGACAGGAACUCCUACAGCGGUCUUAAUCAAUUGUGUUUGGGAAGUUUUUAUGAAUGAAGUCUGAACUGAAGAAAGUCAUAGCAAAUAGAUCAGGUGGGUAGGAAUCCUAUAUUUAUUGUAAGUACAAUCUAUGAUUAGAGACCUGAAAUGCAUUCUGCAUAUAAAAAGGAAAACGUUCUGGCCACAGGCAUUAAAACAUUCUUCUGCUACUAUUAGUGUGUAUCUUAUGAUGCCAUGUAUUUUCUACCGGUAAGAAAUAACCUAAUUGUUUGACUUAAAAAAAGGAUUUUUCUUACAUCUCCUUUUAAAAAAAAACUACGUAAAGGGAAUUAAAUCGACCUUGUGCAAUAAUCAUCCAUUUAUUUUGCUUUUGUUCCACGAGGGGCUCUAAAGAGUUAUUAUGCACCAGAAAAAGUAGACUUAACGUCGAUUGCUCCAGAAAUUCUUUAUAGUCAAUGUUUGAAAUAGAGUGGGUUUUUUGUUUUUUUUUUGAAACUUUUCUCUGGGAUAGUGUGAAGUCUUAUUUUCCCCAUGCAUUGAUCCCAUUCUCAUGAGAAUUUUAUCUCAAUAUUCAGCUAUAGUUGAUAUCAAGUACUAAAUAUUACUGUCUUGAUCAUGUGUUCAAUCAAACAAGAAGUACUGAUCUUUGAAUAUAGAAUUCACUGGUUUUUAUUUUGAUCUUGCUGCCCCAAGAAGGAUCUAAGUUAGAGUACUAGGUAUUGCUUUUGGACCCUGAGGAGCCUGAAUGGAGAGAAGACUAUAUGAAUAAGACUGGCAGCCAGCUGCUGCAAUUGAGAGUCAUUUAUUUAUUAUUUUAUUUUUUAAAUUACUCAACGAAUUUAUUACAUUUAUGGUUGUACAAUGAUCAUCACAAUCCAAUUUUGUAGGAUUUCCAUCCCACACCCCAGAGUCAUUCAUUUAAAUCUUAUUAAGCAUACAUUCUGUGUUAGGCAGUGGGGACACAAAGAGUACUAAAAACGUUUCCACCCUUUAUCAACAGUAUCAUUUAGUGGGGGAGACAGAGUAAAGAGUUUUGGCCCAUUCACUGUGUUAAGUGUUUUAAUAAAUAGGGGAACAGAAGUUAAUUUCUUCUGUACAGCAUAUAGGUGCCAUUUAGUUAAUUUUUAUCAGGAUUGCUAGGUGGCAGAAGAAACGGCUUUUAAGGCUCAUCUAAGCUAGAGUUUUCCUAACAUAUCAGAUAAUAAAAAUUAUGUGAUGUUCUUGUUAAGAAUACAGAUUCUAAGACCUCCCCCAUUCUCUCUGCCCUCCCCCCAAAGACUUAAUGCAGUAGAUCUGGAGGGGAUAUUAAAUAACAUAUUGCAUGUUGCUCUCCACUGUGACUUUUCAAAAGUCUAGAAGUGUUCUUUAAUUUGUCUGAUAAAUACUAGUGUUCCUCAUUGAGACUCUGGAAAAAUAAAAAAGUACAUCAUUAAAUUCUAUCUCAAUAUAGGUAUUUCUCCUGUGAGCUAAGCUGUAACUCAGGUAUCUUGCUUUCUGAUAAACAAAAAGAUAGUGCUGUUGAAAACUAGAGGAGGUAAUACUUUUCAGGAAAAUUGUAGGGCUUUAUGUGUAUUCUCUGCUAAUAAACCAUCAUGAUUUUAUGUGGAUUCGAACCAAAGAGAUUCUUAAUAAAUAGAGUACAUUUUUUUUCCUUAGAACAAAUUUCUAACUAAUUUAACCCAGGUCAUAUUUGUAGUAUGGUCCCAAAAUUAUAGAAAACAUGAUUUGUGCCUGGAUGUUUUUAAGAGUAAAUGAAUUAGGCUGCAUCAACCCUAGAAUGAUUCCAGUAUGACUUUUAAUUUUGAUGAAUCUAAUUUAUGUAAUUUAAUUUUGAUGAAUAGGCAACCAAAGGAAUUUUACAAACAUAGAGCACAGUGGAUGUGAUGCCCCCUGAAAUUACAUAAGGUUCUGGCCUUGUGGACUCUUCACUGAGUUUGAAUGGUAGAGUUACGAUAGCUGUAUGGCCAAGUCCUAUAACAUUAGUUUU
rnacentral:lncRNA from 1 species